GCGUCGGUUGUUCAGUGGUAGAAUACUCGCCUGCCACGCGGGUGGCCCGGGUUUCGAUUCCCGGGCCGACGCA
rnacentral:tRNA from 1 species